GCAAGUCGUGGGAGAAGUCGGGGCAACUCGGCAAGUAAACCGGCGCACGGGUGAGUAACACGUGGAUAACCUGCCUUGAAGUCCGGGAUAACCCGUCGAAAGACGGGCUAAUACUGGAUAAGACCACGGGAAGUUAGCUUUCUGGGGUAAAAGGUGGCCUCUGCUCUUGCAAGCUAUUACUUCGAGAGGGGUCCGCGUCCUAUCAGCUUGUUGGUGAGGUAACGGCUCACCAAGGCAAAGACGGGUAGCUGGUCUGAGAGGAUGGUCAGCCACACUGGGACUGAGACACGGCCCAGAGUCCUACGGGAUGCAGCAGUCAGGAAUAUUGCGCAAUGGAGGAAACUCUGACGCAGCGACGCCGCGUGGGUGAUGAAGGCCUUCGGGUCGUAAAGCCCUGUCGGAGGGAAAGAAAAGUCUGUUGGCUAAUAUCCAGCGGACCUUUGACGGUACCCUCAAAGGAAGCACCGGCUAACUCCGUGCCAGCAGCCGCGGUAAGACGGAGGGUGCGAGCGUUGUUCGGAUUGACUGGGCGUAAAGGGCGUGUAGGCGGUCGGCCAAGUCUGAUGUGAAAGCCCGGGGCUCAGCUCCGGAAGGGCGUCGGAAACUAGUCGGCUGGAGCGCGAUAGAGGAGGGUGGAAUUCCUGGUGUAGCGGUGAAAUGCGUAGAUAUCAGGAGGAACACCGGCGGCGAAGGCGGCCCUCUGGAUCGUUGCUGACGCUGAGACGCGAAAGCGUGGGGAGCAAACAGGAUUAGAUACCCUGUAGUCCACGCUGUAAACUAUGGGUACUAGGUGUUUGGGGUAUUGACCCCCUGAGUGCCGCAGUUAACGCAUUAAGUACCCCGCCUGGGGACUACGGCCGCAAGGU
rnacentral:rRNA from 1 species